AAUAUUAAAAAUGCCAAAAGUAUUUUGUUCAUUUCUUGACUUCCAAUCUUUAUCUCACUUCUGUUUUUGAUUGUUUGACCAUGAUCCUCAAUGUCAUUGGUCAACACUUGUUGAUUGGUACAUGCUAUUUCAUUUAAUGCACUUACUUCUUUUCAUUAUCCAUCUUAUUCAUCUCCUUCUUCUUCUUCUUUCUUCUUUUUGAUCAAUGAGUUGAAGGUUGAUAAGUUAGCAUUGAUUAGGGAGACUUAAUCUUCCUUGAUUCAAACCUAAUUCAUCUUGAUCAAUU
rnacentral:lncRNA from 1 species